GACACAAGGAAAUCGUUUUACACAAAUGAGCAUCCUGAUGAUUUGGGGAGUUUCUUAAUGACUGAACAGUCGUAGAGUUAUACAUGGCUUACUGGCAACUGUGGUCCACUAAUACUAUUUACCCAACCAAAUUAGUUCCUAAUUAGAUGAGUGCCAGAGCAGAAAGGCCAGGAAAUGAAAUAUUUUUGACAGAUAAAAAUGGAAAAAAAUUACACAGCUUAGGAUGAAAAAUAGACAAGAAAAAAGGGUGAGGUGAGAGCCGCACAGCAACAUGUGACCUUUUCAAUUCUGACCUUUAAUUAUGACACCUCAAUGAGGCUCGUUGUUUUGACUCCUGUCAUCUUUAUCUUUUCCGUCUUUAAUUGUAAGCACACGUUACUAUGGUGAUUUUACAUGCUGCCGAUAUGAAAAAGAUUAAGACAGUGCUUCCAUGUGACAAUUCUCAAACACGGAAAUGUUAAUGAAUCUGGAGGCAGUCUGAGCCUAUUUUCAGGUGCUGUGGAUUUGUUAUUGUGUGUGUGGGACUGCAUGAAUCAGCGGUGACAGCUCUCCAAGUUAUUGGGAAAAUACAAGGACAGGGAGGUUGACUGCAGGCUCAGAGCUUCACUUAAUCCAUUUGGUACGCAGCACGAAUCAAAACGUCUGGAACAGGUGCUGUUGCUGGUGUUGGAGCUGGAGGUGGAGUGGAAACUUCUGCCACUCCUGUCUCUACAUAAUCCUUAAAGGCAGCAAUGUCACUUUCUUUCUCUACGAUGAUGCAGAGCGGGGUUCCCAGGGGAACGUCCCGAGUUCCCUCUGGCACCAUGAUUUUGGCCAAAUAGCCCUCCUCCUGCACCUCAAAGCCUAAAACACAUCAGAGGGACAUGUGAGCAACGCCUGGACAGCUGGACUUGAGGUGACAUGACAUGGGAAGCCCUCGGGUAUACAGGUCAAAUGCAGAAAAAAAGAGACUUCCCGAAAGAAGCAACCACAAAACAAUAGCAAAUAUUUCCACGUUUGCAAGCAAGCAGCCACAAAUGGUCUUUUUUGCUGUUUAGAUCACUGAUGCACAACUACAAACAGGGUUUUGUCGUGACAGCAUUUUUAAUAAUUGCAAUUUCAGGAUGAAGCUCAUGUUUACGUUGUACCUAGCAGUAAUGUGAUGAUUUCCUGAAAAUGUAAUGGUCACAUGAAAUGUAAUUAAAUUUCCACUAAACCUGAUCAAAAAUGUAACAAACCCCACUAAUGUGACUUUCACAUAUUUACCCAGAUGUGAACCCCAGUCGUGAGGCUUCUGUUCUUCACGUGCACUGGACGUGUCUGAGCCUUGAAAAAUACCGAAAGGAUGUUUUCCAAACCUUAUCCUCAAUCCUCAACUUUGACCUGCGACCCAUCCCUCUGGUCGCCCUCUUUGGCACCACCACAGAGGAUGAUGUACCCGUGCCCGUCUGGCCUCUCUGCUGGCCAGACAGGCAGUUCCAAUCAGAUGGAGGGAUGUUGCCAUGCCCACUCCUGCCCAGUGGCUGAAGGACAUUACAUCCUGCCUUAAUCUUGAAAAGAUUAGCUACUCCAUUUAUAACUCAGAUAAAAAAUUCCAAAAAGUGUGGGGCCCCUUUCUGAAACACUUCCAGAGCUUUCCGUUAAAGUGAGGAUAAUAUAAUUUUGACAGGUAAUGUAAUAAGUUUAAAAAGUAUGCUUUUUUUCCUCUGAAAUGUACAGUGUGCAAGUAUACAAAAUCUUUGAUGAGCCAUGAAGACAAACAGUUCAUUCAGUCUUCAUAAAAUGUUCUUCUCAUUCUUCUCAUCUGAGUCAACAGCGAUUCUUAUUGAAUAAAGUGUCUCAUCUGCCUCGCCUGAUUCUAUAAAAUUUCUUCACGGGUAGAGGGGAAUUCACACAUCCAAAUAUAAACCUAAUAAAAACUAAUAAAUAUCUUACAUAAAUAAACACAUUCAAACAGUCCUCCUCAAUAGUUCUGGGAGUGUUACAACAAGCAGGAAGUGGGCAGAGGGGAGUUCAGUUGUACUGUUGAAAUGUAUUCAUUUGCGAUUUAUUACCUAGUUAUUUUAUUAUAUUAUAAUUAACCUUUAUUUAACUAGGAAGUCCCACUGAGAUUAAAAAUCUCUUACAAGAGAGACCUAGCCGAAGUAGCAGCCAAUCAAAACACAUUUAAAAUGCAUCAAAUACAACAUAUAAUACAAAAAUCCACAAUAAAACAACAACUAUUCAAACAUAAAAACAAACACAUGUCUCUAUCACCACUUUCUUUAUGUUCCACUUAAAUUCAUCUGUGUUUCUAAUUUCAGAUCUUUUAGAAGACUGUUUCACGUCCAAGGUGCAGAGUAGGAGAACGCACUUUUCCCCACAUCUGUUAAAACCCGGUGCUCAUUCAAAAGCAAUCACUUGGAGGAGAGGAGCUGGCAACUACCACAGCUGACACACACAAGGGCGCAGAGGUAGGCUGGAAGUUUGCCCAAAAUUGCUUUAUAGAUAAAAAUAUACCAGUGCUGUUGUCUGCGAGUGGUCAGUGAUGUCCAACCCACCAAAGCAUCAAAACAUAGAGAUGCAUGGUAUACUGAAUCAAGGCUAUGUAAAAUGAUGGAGGUUGCAUGCAUAUACAAUAUGCCACUGUAAUCAAUCACAGACUGUAAAGCAGCUUCCACAAAUGUUUUCUUUUUAACUGGACAUCUAGUACCGGCGACCUGUCGUUACAUCAAUAUGGCUUUAAUAUGUGUUUUGGGUUGGGUAAGAUAUGUGAUUUGGCUUAAGUUAACAGUACAGCUCUUUUGCAACGUCUUGACAACAUCAGUCAGUACAUUUUAUAACAUUAUUGAUCAGGUUAUUACAGUAUGGGGUUUUAUUGCAUUUUAAAUCAAGUUAAUUGCAAAUUUUAUUACAUUACUGGGUGCUACAUGUAUCAAUAUUAAAAACCCUGACAGCAUAAUCUCAGUGAGAAAAAGUAUGGAGCAGCAGUUUUAUUUGAUUGCCUCCUUAAAACUUACAAUAUCUACACGCAUGAUGGUCCAACCUGCUUUCUGAACUAUUCCACACAGCUAACAGCUUGAUACCAGCAUCUAAUGUUAGCUUCAAAGACUGGACGACACACAAAUCACUUUCAAAUCAUGAAUUAUGUUCAAACAUUUUGGUUUCACUCAUUAAAUGUAAAGCCACUCUGUGCUGAAUUUUUAUGUGACUGUUACAUCUUUCAUUCUGAUAGCAUAAAUCAUGUCAUCCCUGUGUUGCUUUCAGCCUGUUCACCUCACUGCUCUACACAGUGGUUUUACAUUUUAAGAUUAACCACUGAGAAACCAGACCGUCAGACUAAACAACCCUGAUAAAACUACAUCUGUAGCUACAGGACACUGUGACUGUAAACAUCCUCUACACUACUCAAAAUCUGACUGUGCUUUGUUUAUGCAAG